AUUUGGAAAUAACUCAAAAAUUUUUGAUGGGUAAAAUUAAAGUGUUUCAUGUAAGGGACACACGGUCAAAAUUUCAACCCAGGAAAGUGAAUUUGGUUUAAAUUGGAGUGAUUUGAAAUUUUUGGCAUGUUGUGUGGGAGUUUUAUACAUGAGAACAAAGGAAAUACCCCAUAGGUAUUGCUGUGUAAGGAUGUUUGUUCCCUAAAGUAAAACUCCAACAUAUUCCGGGGCAACUGUUUCGAGAGCCUGUUCCUUUUGCUUCGCGCCCGUGCAUGUAUGGUUCAUAAUACAUGUACAUGUAUGUAUGGAAAGUGUCAAACAGAAGCCAAUCAUGAAAUGAUUGCAUCGAAGAUCGCUGGGGUUAUGUGUGUUCAAUUUUUGUGAAUUUACACCGCAUAUAUGUGAUCUGACCAAACAAUUUUGAGUUCGUACUCGCUUUCGAGCCAUGUAUGAACUGGCCUAUAUGACGCCGCGAGACAUUCACGACAUGCGUAUAAAAUAAUCUGUGACAUCAUUAAUACAGGUACCUGCUAACAAUGUUUGACAUGUUCUGUAUUCCCAAAAACUCAUUUGAUCCAAAAGUACAUGUAGAUGAUUUCAGAGGGUUUUAUGAAAGAAAAAUUGAAAAUUCUGUGGAACCUGUGGGUAUAUGGCCUUGAAAUUUGUACUCCUGUGCUGCAUAUUUUUAAUGGACCGCUCACGCAUUUUGCCGCCACGGCCAUGACAUGCUCGCAUAAUUAUCAACUUAUUACUGAAAACAACCAAUAAGGGCGCUGGGAUGGACGGCGUGAUUACAGAUGCAUGACAUCAUUUCUUCAAGCCUGUCUCAGGCUCCAUCUAUUUUUUCACCACCUGACUUUGAGGUCGUUAGAUGGAAUUUUUCUUGAUGUCGAAUUCGCUUCCGUUUCUGCAUAUGCCUGAAGUAUGAACUGGCCUAUAGGGACAUGAUAAUGUCAGCGAGAAUCAUGUGUCAAACAUAAAAUGGAUUCCCCCGCUAUGAAAUAUAUCUGAAUCUAUUUUACUUGAAAAUGUCGGGUCUAACUGUCCUAUAAUUUUGAAUAGUUGAAAAAAAAUCCACUGGUACAACAAAUAGUCGUAAACUUGAACCUCGUUAAUAAGAAGUCCUUCAGACUUUGCAAAUAUAACAGGAACCUUGUAUUAUCAGGAAUGAAAACAAUGAAGAAAAAGGAUUGGGCCCUGAAAUUUCCCUUGUUGUUAGCAGAAUACUGUAUUGACCGUGCUCUUACUAAAAUGAAGUUUGACUGUAACGUAUUAAUCGAAGUCCAAUUUCAUCGAUUAAAUCCACAAGAAAUGAUCAUCAUCCCACUCAAUUCGCAGUAGUUCUCCUUUGACAUGUUGAAAAGGAAUGGUAGGCUAUUUAGAAUUAAGGUAUUUCUUAACUUAAGUAUUCAUCGCCAUUUUUCCACGUUUCUAUACGUUGCAUAGUGAGCUGAAGUUCAAGCUGAAUCUGGUGGCCUACAUGCUAUGGUCUGACCACCCAAUUAAAAUAUCAAAAUUUGAAGGAAAAAAGAGCGCCAGAGUUACCGGACCAACCAUAAUAAUGAUUAAUCUUGCUGAAAGGCUCGCUUUUCUAAACUGAAUGUACAACAGAAAAGUGCAGUUUUUGACUUUAACUCGGUGAAAUAAAGUUUCCAAGGAGAUUUAGCUUUCUGUCUCAUAGAGUUUCUGCAUGGCAGACAUCUUUCUGGUAACUACUUUUGUCGUGGAGGGCUAGUACAAAAGGUCUAUUCAUCUGUAUCCCUGUGGAACAAAAGCUCUUACUGGAGAAAUGGCUGCCAUGCAGAAUCUCUAGUGGGCUUUGCGUCUGUCGUUUUUUUCCAUUGACAGCUAUGUAUUUUUUUCUUAAUCAAUGCCUAUAAAUGCAGGCACUCAAAUGCAAAUUCGAGCCACAGGGGCAACAGAGACGUUGUUUGGUCCGUUACAAAGAGGGUCUAAUCUUCUUAGCGACUAGAAAGAGAGACUAUGUUAGAGGUUAUCAGGUGCACUGAACCGGCCGGUGUAGCAUAAUGUAUGUGUGCAUGUAUAGUAUAUACUGCACACACGCUGCAGGUUUAGACAGCCGGCUGCAUGUGCAUAGCAUUGUAUUGAAUUGGUAAACCGAGCCAGCGGCCUGCCGGCCGGAUGUGUUUGCAGAUGUACUGAGUGCCAAUGGAUGCUAGACUGUUUGGUACCAACAUUAUGCACUUGUUUCGAACCUGAAUUAAAGCAGUAACGUACCCCGAGCCCACCGUACGCGGUUAACUGAAGACACACAUUCACACAAACAUGCAACUCAUUUAUAAACACUCAUAAAGCAACACCAGAAAGGAAAGCGAAUAAGGGUUGCCUCGCACCCAUUGACUCACAUCUGGAUACUCCACUUGGCAGAGUUGAAUUCUACAUACUAGGUGCAGCUUUUAUUUGGGGGUAUAGACAGUUAAAGAUGGAUGCAGCCAACACUCGGUCUCUAAGGGGGGCAGGCUCAUCCCAACGUCAAAAAUGUGAAGAGUGUGAGAAAGAUUUCUCUUCUUUAACCAGCCUACGGCGUCACGUGCAAGAGCAGCACACUCGCAAGGAGAAACUGAACUGCCCGCGGUGCUCCAAGACUUUCAUCAGGAAGCACGACAUGGAGAAACAUCUGAGGAAAGCUCAUGGAGGAGCUCUGGAAAUGCUGGCUAAUGUACUUGAAAACCUGAAAGAAGAACUCGAUCAGCCAGACCCCGUUGAGCCACCUGUGGUGAGCCCCAAACGCAAGAGGGUGUCCUUUGCCAGCAUGCCGUAUUCGGACCCAGAGACUGCUGAGGUUCCAUCCGGUAUGACAUUAGAUUCAAGUCCUAGUAUGAGUUGUCAAGAGGUGGCAGUGCAGACGUCUCCACACGGAGGGAGUGGAGAGACCGAAAUCAUCCGGCAACGUAUCAUUGAACGCACCACUAAGGAACUCCUUGACGAUGAUGGGAAGGUGGUUGCGCGGGUAAUCACAGAACGGUUCCUUGUAGAAUGAUUCCCUCUGGAGUUGGGUUUUAUGGGUUGAGGUUGCAAAAUAUAUCAAGAUGGAAUGUCUUCAAUUUUUCAAAAAUUGAUUGAGGUAUCAUACUUCUUUAAGGUACAUGUACCGGUAUACAGGUUCAGUGCACAUUUCAUUGGUAUUCUGCUUGUCUUCAGCAUGUUUUGCACAUGUACCAGUAGGGGACGGCACAUUGGCAAAAUUUUGGUUCUGUGCCCCGCUGCAUACAUCCUUGUUGCUAACAAUAUUAUUUUAAAACUACCUGUACAGUAUCAUUCACUGUUUUAAAGACAGUACCACAAAAUGUGUUUUGGCAAUACAUAAUGAAUGUGUAAGAGUUUACAGUGAUUUUUUACACAAUUAUACACUGACCUCAUACUGAAGAUUGCCUGAUAUUUUCAGUGGAGCAUUGUAAAUAAAAAAAUUAAGAAUUGGGACACAUGUAUGUGAAGUGUUCUGAGCUGGUAUGACGGCAUGAUUUGCAUGUAAUUUGUCAUUCUUUUGACCGAAGCUCAGACACAUCCCAAAAUAUAAUACACGUACAUUGCAUCUUCUUUUAGGUCACCUGACACGACAAUUGGGGAACAAAUGAUGGCAAACUGUCAGUGACAUUCGAUUGGAAAAAAAAUGCCCCGUCUGAAUUUUUCUGUGUCUUUUUGGUUUUAAAAUGAGGGACAAGAAUGUUAUGCUCAUAUAACGUAUAAUUUCCCCCUUUAUACUGCAUGUAAUACUUAAUAAUAUGGAUUGUAUAGUCUGAGACGUCUAACACCAUUGCCACCUCUAUCAAUCACAGAAGUAAAGAGGGCACUCAUUCUGACCGCUCAUUUGCCACGGUUUUUCCCUCUCUGAUCCCUCUCAGAAAGUGCUUUCAGCUACUAAUAAACUCAAGUGAUUGCCAUAAAUUUCCUUCCUCCGCACAAUAAUUGUUGCUUUUAAGAAAAGGUCAUUCCAUCACAGUUCUAUCACGUCCAAUUUAUGAAAACGGUGAUGUCAGAAACACAUUUUAAGAAGUGGCUUACAGGUACAGUACAUGUAUGUGUAUGUGCAUGCUUGUGAGACUACUAAGGAACAUUAAGAGCAAGAAGAGGACAGCCGGAUACAUGUAAACAUGUCAGGAGCCACAUUAGCUGUACGAAGUCAUUUGAUACACUAGUGAUCAGUGAUACAUUUUGAAAUUGUUCGGGAGGCAGAGGAAAAAAUACAGGUUUGGAUAAAGAAGUUCUAAGACUCCAUAUGUAUUCCGCAGUAUUGGAACAUGUACAUAAAUGUACAUGUAUGUUUUCAACAUUGACACAACUUUUCAGCAACUCUUUUAUUUUGUGGUGUUCGGAAUAAACCAGUGAUGAAAUGCA
rnacentral:misc_RNA from 1 species